GGCAGUAUAAUGCUAGAACUCCAGAAGGUUCAGGUUUUUUCGCUCUCUCGCUUCUCCUUAUCAACUUGACAGUGGUGCAGAUAUUUAGCAACUGGAGGGUUUGAUUAGAUACGCGGAAAAUCUACCCUAAUCCCUCACACCCAAGUCAAAAUCCACAUCAAAACCCAAAAAUCACUACCAUUAAUAGCUUCCAAAACAGAGCCGACCCAGAAGCUGGUCUUCCCAGACGAGUACAAAGCCACCAUCUUUGCUGCAGAACCAAGCUCAGAAGCACAGCCAACAAUGCAAAAAUCUCAGAGGUGAUAGAUGGUGCGAUCUGGAUUUGAUAAUCUGUGUUUCUUUCUUUUGGUAUUGUAUCCAGUGGUCUGCGUGUUGAGUAAUUGGGAGCAUCGCAAAAGCUUGUGUUUUGCGUUUUGAUUGGAUCCAGUUUGUGAUGAGACGAUUGGGUUUAAAACAAGUAGAACAGGUGUGGUAUUUGAUUGUGUUCGUGUUUCUUUAAUUGAAUAGUUGAUAAUUGUGUGUGUUCUGAGGUUAUCAAGGUCAGUCACUGAGAUCAACGCUGAUAAAAUUAUAUGGUGCCAAUCUCAGAUUCUGCUGAUAAUCUGAGAAAAGAAAACUAAAGCAAAUAGAAAAGGACCUUAGUGAUUCGGCGGAGCAUAAGAAGAGGGCUUUGAGUCUGGCUUUAUUUGGGGCUGCUUACUUACAGACAUUACUCUCUAGUAAAAUGGAGGUGGAAGACUGGAAGUUGUACAUAUCAUAUAUUAAUUUAAGGAUUAAUUGCAUGGAACUAGAUUCCUAGAAGUAGUCGGAAAGGCUUAAAGCUUCCCAGUUUUUAUUAUACAUAUCGUACCAUUCCCACAUGCAAAGGGAUGAUCCGUUAUGCCUUGACAAGUCUUUGCAAAAUCUCAGACACUGCAACAGAAAAGAGAAGAAGGCAAAUCAGUUUGAUCUGCAAUUUCACAAUCCUUGCAAAACCUUGGGCACUGCAAUACAGAAGAGAAGAAGCCAAAUCAAUUUGAUCUCCAAUUUGACAAGUGAGAUGCCAUCAAGCUGUACCGCAUCAAUCAAGCUCUGAGAUACAGAGUUUGGGUUGAAAAUGAGUACAAAAUUUGACCAUCUACGGGUACCAGGGAAUCUCACUGUUUUUGCUUCCUUCACUGGUCAAUCUGACCAGGCAUUGAAUCAAAUACCCGGAUUAUUAUCUUUUGAAAUUGCGUUGAGAAAAGCAAGAGAGCUCCAGGCCUAUGUUGACGUGGUUGGUUCCUGUACUGGAAUGGUUCAUUUACAUAUUGUUGGCGUACUUAUUAUGAACGGUGUGAGAUUACUACUACCAAAAGUUGUGCCUUUUGAAGAUUAUUGCUGGUUAGUAUUUUUUUUUUCCAUGCUGGAUUUGUCAAUGUCUAAAUGGAAUGUGAUUCACAAGCAGCUGCUCCAUCUUUUUCGAAUCACUAACAAUUGGCCUCAGCAAAACCACGCACUCUGGAGGAAGCAACUUUUUGGACAUCCUCCAUGACUAGCUAUCAAUAGGCUAACACCGUUUGAGAAUAUACACAUGCUAAUGGACAUCAUACAACUAUUUUUUGCAAACUAUUGCAGCAGCAAUUGUAAUUAGCUUUAAACUGUGACAACCUAUUUUUUGAACACACUACCACAACAUAUGUAUUGGUGGUUAUGUUGCUAGAACAUGAUCUACUUCAUCUUUUGUUGUAAAACAUACAAUCUUUUGUUAAUAUAAUGAUUAUGUCGACUAUAUUUUCUAUGCUUUUGGA